rnacentral:rRNA from 1 species
GAUGAACGCUGGCGGCAUGCCUAAUACAUGCAAGUCGAACGAGAGGAAGGAAAGCUUGCUUUCCUGAAUCUAGUGGCGAACGGGUGAGUAACACGUAGGUAACCCGCCCAUGUGCCUGGGAUAACUUCUGGAAACGGAUGCUAAAACCGGAUAGGUAGCAGACAAGCAUUUGACUGCUAUUAAAGUGGCCUUGGCCAUGAACAUGGAUGGACCUGCGGUGCAUUAGCUGGUUGGUGAGGUAACGGCCCACCAAGGCGACGAUGCAUAGCCGGCCUGAGAGGGCGGACGGCCACAUUGGGACUGAGACACGGCCCAAACUCCUACGGGAGGCAGCAGUAGGGAAUUUUCGUCAAUGGGGGGAACCCUGAACGAGCAAUGCCGCGUGAGUGAGGAAGGUCUUCGGAUCGUAAAGCUCUGUUGUAAGAGAAAAACGGCACUCAUAGGGAAUGAUGAGUGAGUGAUGGUAUCUUACCAGAAAGUCACGGCUAACUACGUGCCAGCAGCAGCCGCGG